UUAAUUUGAAAUAAUUUUCUGUCUUUUUAUUCAGUGAAAAGCAAAAGGGAAGGAAACAACAACCUUAACAGACAUAACUAGAUUGCAGAUGGCAUCGUUGACGACCCAUCUGUCCGGUUUUAUCAUCUUCUUCCCUAUUGGCAUUCGCCGUUUAGUCUCUUCAACUUCCCUUUACCUUCACAACCCCUCUCACUUUCGCUCCAAGCUUUGGUACUUCUCUGACCCAAAGUGGAAGACCCUUGAUCUCUACGCUGUCCUCAUCGCCCUCCCCGUGUUCUCUUUCACCGAGUUUUUCCUCUUCUUCUCGUUUUCUGGUCACCCCGUUUACAAAUUCUCCUUCUUCCAACAAUCCCUGGCCGUUUUGGCCUUCUGGCUCUUGACCAUUUUGAUCAUAGUCCGUGAACGCGUGGGAGGAACGUCGUUGGUCGAUGAAGGUUUUGUUUUUUUGUCCGGUGGGAUUGUUUUCUUGCUGGAGUAUUCUGUGAUGGAAAAAGGGGUAUCAGGUCUUGCGGGUUCUGUGUAUGGAUAUUUGGGAGGGUUGACACUGGUGUGUGCUGGUGCUUGUAUUUACUUAGCGGUUAAGCCUUCGGCUUUUUUUGCAGAGUUUUUGUUGUCUUGUGGUUUGAUGUUUAAGGGCACUUGGUUGUUGCAGGCGGGGUUUUCUUUGUACACUGAUUUGUUUGGGCUGAAGGGGUGUAGAAAGAUCAAUUUUUUAGAGUCCCAAAAGCAGCUUGUUGAUGUGCAUUGUGAUCUUGAUGAGGAUAGUUUGAGGGGUGUGACUUUGAUGAAUUUUCUGUUCACCGUGCAUGCUAUUGGGGUGGUGGUUUUGGCUUUUGGGGCAUUUGGGGUGGUGGCAGGUAACAGGAGUUUGAAAAGUGGGGAGGCAAAGGGACCUUUGCUGUCUGAGAGUGAAUCAUCGAGCUUUCGGACGUUGGCUCUUCCGGAUCUGGAGAUGGAGUGAAAUGUUAAUGGCUUUGGUAGAAUAACAAAAAGGGAAGUUUGCAUUGUGAAUCAUUGGUUUUUCACCUGCCAGGUAGGUUAAAAAAUUAAGUUAAGGAAGAAUUACCUGUCUUAUGAGAAAGAAAGGUUCUCUUGGAUGGUAGACUAGUUUGAUGGGUUUGUACAUCCC